GCCUGCUUGGCUCAAUUGGUAGAGCAUCGGUUUUGUAAACCGACGGUUGAUGGUUCAAGUCCGUCAGCAGGCA
rnacentral:tRNA from 1 species